AUUGAACGCUGGCGGCAGGCCUAACACAUGCAAGUCGAGCGAGCGGCGGACGGGUGAGGAAUGGAUGGGGACUGCACGAUAGAGGGGGAUAACUACUGGAAACGGUGGCUAAUACCGAAUACUAGCGGAUAACCCAUAUGGGAUUAGCUAGUAGGGGGGGUAAAGGCUCACCUAGGCGACGAUCUCUAGCUGGACGGAGAGGAUGAUCAGCCACACUGGGCCUGAGACACGGCCCAGCCUCCUACGGAGGCAGCCUUGGGGAAUAUUGGCCAAUGGGCGCAAGCCUGAUGCAGCCAUGCCGCGUGUAUGAAGAAGGCCUUAGGGUUGUAAAGUACUUUCAGCUGUGAGGCGUUACCCGCAGAAGAAGCACCGGCUAACUCCGUGCCAGCAGCCGCGGUAAUUC
rnacentral:rRNA from 1 species